rnacentral:rRNA from 1 species
AAGUCGUAACAAGGUUUCCGUAGGUGAACCUGCGGAAGGAUCAUUAACGAAUUGUAACAACUUGGCUGUCGCUGGCUCUCUCUGGGAGCAUGUGCACGCCGGUUCAAACUCUUCAUCCUUAACCUCCUGUGCACUUUUUGUGGAUCGUGGAUGGAUAACUCUCGAGGUAACACUCGGUUUUGGCGUUUGUGUUUAACACGCACUCUCUCCUCCAUCCGUUCGCGGUUCAUGUCUUUUUACACACUACAUAUUUAAACCUAGAAUGCUUCAAAGUUGGGACUUUAGUGACCCUUCUUAAAUUAAAUACAACUUUCAACAACGGAUCUCUUGGCUCUCGCAUCGAUGAAGAACGCAGCGAAAUGCGAUAAGUAAUGUGAAUUGCAGAUUUCAGUGAAUCAUCGAAUCUUUGAACGCACCUUGCGCCCUGUGGUAUUCCGCAGGGCAUGCCCGUUUGAGUGUUAUUAAAUCAUCAACCUCUAAACCUUUGUGUUUUCAGGCUUGGUCUUGAGGGUUUGCAGGCUUUUACCGGUCAGCUCCCUUUAAAUCUAUUAGCGAGACUUCCCUGUGUUGACUGUCUCUUGGCGUGAUAGUUAUCUGGGUCAAACUUGAUGGUCUCGUUGGGCUUGCUUCUAAUCGUCUUCGGACAAGCGGAUCGAAGCGCAUAUAUGCGCCUCUUUUCAAACCUUUUUAACCUCAAAUCGGGUAGGACUACCCGCUGAACUUA